AUUAUAGCCUCCUUUUUCAGUAAAUGAGCUUUGAAGAGAGAACUUAUUGGCUCAUCAUCAUUAUCAUUCAUCAACUUCAGUGUUGUUUUUUAUUGCAUCCAUAAUUUAUCUCUCCAAGCUAACUUCAUUUCCUUAAUCUCACUGAAAACCCAAUACAUCAUGAUGAAAUUCAAACUUUAACCUAUCCAUAGUAUGCUACAUUUGGUUCAAUAUUAAACCAUUUAUUGUUAGACAACAUUUUAUUAUGCUUUACAUUCUUAAUUAUAUUUCCACAAGUUCAUACUGUAACUCUGUCACCAUUAUUGAUGGAGGAAACACAUGUAGACUAUAGAAUAACUUAAAGCGAAUCAACAACAAACAGAGAUAACAAGGUUUGGCAAUAAAUUGUAUGACAUGACUUAUUGUUGAUGUUUGUAUUUCAAUGGAUGAUUAGCAGCAGAUCUAGCCAUCCCAGAUGCAAAUGUAUUAUGACACGAAU
rnacentral:misc_RNA from 1 species